AUGCAAAACUGAGUGAGUGACGGUGGCGAGGGGUUUGGGAAUCAAAGCUUUGUCGUCCAGACAUAUUAGCAGCAGGAAUGGGUAUUGUUAGUGGAAUCUGGAUUGAAUUAAGAGAGAAGAAAAGGUAGUUAGUACUUCUCUCCCUCUCUUGUGUUUAAUGUUGAAUUAAUGUCUUAGAUUAGGUAUACUAAAACACCAACACUUACGUAAUCCAAACAUUAAGCAGAGAAGGGAUCUAAAAGGAAGAUUGAAUACGAAUGUCACUCCACCGUGACAUGUCAUGUCAAGUCGAUAUACUUUAUACCCAUACUAAUCAAAUUAAAUUAUAAACCCAAUAUUGAUAUUUUUGGGUAUUUCCUCUUUUUGAUUUGCGAAAGCAGUGAUCCCAAGUUUUGGGUUGUGUUCCUUUUGCAAAGUAUAAUCUUUUUCCUUUUCUAAUAGACUGUUUUCCAUUUAUUUUCAUUAUAUAAUUUUAAUUUUAAUUUUUUAAAGAAAAAUAUAUUAUUAAAUUAUUUUCUCUCUCAGAAAUUAGCAUUUUAGUCAUACCAAUAAUCUUGUUAACCACGGAAGAAAGCUUGAAAUCUAGGGUUUUCAUUAGAAAAACCAUUAAAUAUGGAACAACCUAAAAUUAUCUAAAGAAGACCUUAAAUUGUAAGGUUUUUUAUUAUUUGAAAUAUUCUUCAUUUGUAUAAAAUCUUUAUUUUGUCAAAUUCUUGAGUUUUUUUUUUUAUUUUCUUUAAAUGGUAAGGUUGUAUAUUUAUAUAAUAUGGUUACUGUUCAUUGAUGUGAUAUUCUAGAAUGUGUUCCAUGCAUGCUAACACAUACCCUAUUCUAGACUUAACAUAUGUUUAUGUGGUCUCAUGCAGGAUCCCACGUGUGACCUCGCAAGGGAGUAUAAGUACCCCUCCUGCGAAUACUUAACAUCAUGCGAGCUCAAUUGUAAACUCGAUAUGCAAGCUCAAUCUGCAAACUUGGUAUGCGAGCUUAACAUACAAACCAUGUAGAAUUCAGCCCAAACCCAUUCGGGUUGCGGGUUGGUAAUUGUUGGUCUUG
rnacentral:lncRNA from 1 species